rnacentral:rRNA from 1 species
AUGAUGUGGUUUAAUUCGAUGCAACGCGAAAACCUUACCCACCUUUGACAUGUACGGAAGCCUUUAGAGAUAGAGGCGUGCUCGAAAGAGAGCCGUAACACAGGUGCUGCAUGGCUGUCGUCAGCUCGUGUCGUGAGAUGUUCGGUUAAGUCCGCUAACGAGCGCAACCCUCGCUGUGUGUUAUAUGUGUCACACGGGACUGCCGGUCUUAAGCCGGAGGAAGGUGGGGAUGAUGUCAAGUCAGCAUGGCCUUUAUAUCCUGGGCUACACACACGCUACAAUGGCCAACACAAUAGGUUGCUAAGCCGCGAGGUGGCGCCAAUCCAUAAAGUUGGUCUCAGUUCAGAUUGUAGGCUGCAACCCGCCUGCAUGAAGAUGGAGUUGCUAGUAACCGCAGGUCAGCUAUACUGCGGUGAAUACGUUCCCGGGGCUU